rnacentral:rRNA from 1 species
UACGUAGGGGGCAAGCGUUGUCCGGAUUUAUUGGGCGUAAAGAGCGUGUAGGCGGCCAGACAGGUCCGUUGUGAAAACUCGAGGCUCAACCUCGAGACGUCGACGGAAACCGUCUGGCUAGAGUCCGGAAGAGGAGUGUGGAAUUCCUGGUGUAGCGGUGAAAUGCGUAGAUAUCGUAAGGAAGACCAGUGGCGAAGGCGGGUCUCUGGACAGUUCCUGACGCUGAGGCACGAAGGCCAGGGGAGCAAACGGG